rnacentral:rRNA from 1 species
UACGAAGGGGGCUAGCGUUGUUCGGAAUUACUGGGCGUAAAGCGCGCGUAGCGGUUUUGCAAGCCAGAGGUGAAAUGCCUGAGCUCAACUUAGGAAUUGCCUUUGGGACUGCGAGGCUUUGAGGACUGGAGAGGUGAGUGGAAUUCCCAGUGUAGAGGUGAAAUUCGUAGAUAUUGGGAAGAACACCGGGUGGCGAAGGCGGCU